rnacentral:tRNA from 1 species
GGAGAGGUGGCCGAGCGGUCGAAGGCGGGCGACUCGAAAUCGUCUUAGCGGUGCUGAGCCGCUACGUGGGUUCAAAUCCCACCCUCUCCGCCA